AACGAACGCUGGCGGCAUGCCUAACACAUGCAAGUCGAACGAGACCUUCGGGUCUAGGGGCGCACGGGUGCGUAACGCGUGGGAACCUGCCCUUAGGUUCGGAAUAACUCCCCGAAAGGGGUGCUAAUACCGGAUAAUGUCUUCGGACCUAAGAUUUAUCGCCUUUGGAUGGGCCCGCGUUGGAUUAGCUAGUUGGUAGGGUAAAAGCCUACCAAGGCGACGAUCCAUAGCUGGUCUGAGAGGAUGAUCAGCCACACUGGGACUGAGACACGGCCCAGACUCCUACGGGAGGCAGCAGUGGGUAAUAUUGGACGAGGGGCGAAAGCCUGAUCCAGCAAUGCCGCGUGAGUGAGGAAGGCCUUAGGGUUGUAAAGCUCUUUUACCCGGGAUGAUAAUGACGGUACCGGGAGAAUAAGCUCCGGCUAACUCCGUG
rnacentral:rRNA from 1 species